rnacentral:tRNA from 1 species
GAGCCAGUGCAGUGUAGUGGUUUGAACACUGGACUAAGACUCUGGAGGCCAGGGUUCAAAUCUCUGCUUGACCA